rnacentral:rRNA from 1 species
UACGGGGGGGGCAAGCGUUGUUCGGAAUUACUGGGCGUAAAGGGCUCGUAGGUGGCCAACUAAGUCAGACGUGAAAUCCCUCGGCUUAACCGGGGAACUGCGUCUGAUACUGGAUGGCUAGAGUUUGGGAGAGGGAUGCGGAAUUCCAGGUGUAGCGGUGAAAUGCGCAGAUAUCAGGAGGAACACCGAUGGCGAAGGCAGCUCACUGGGACGGUACUGACGCUGAGGCGCGAAAGCGUGGGAGCAAACAGG